AUUGAACGCUGGCGGAAUGCUUUACACAUGCAAGUCGAACGGCAGCACGGACUUCGGUCUGGUGGUGAGUGGCGAACGGGUGAGUAAUGUAUCGGAACGUGCCCAGUCGUGGGGGAUAACGUAGUGAAAAUUACGCUAAUACCGCAUACGAUCUACGGAUGAAAGCGGGGGAUCGCAAGACCUCGCGCGAUUGGAGCGGCCGAUAUCAGAUUAGGUAGUUGGUGGGGUAAAGGCCCACCAAGCCAACGAUCUGUAGCUGGUCUGAGAGGACGACCAGCCACACUGGAAGUGAGACACGGUCCAGACUCCUACGGGAGGCAGCAGUGGGGAAUUUUGGACAAUGGGCGAAAGCCUGAUCCAGCCAUUCCGCGUGCAGGAUGAAGGCCCUCGGGUUGUAAACUGCUUUUGUACAGAACGAAAAGGUUUCUACUAAUACUAGGAGCUCAUGACGGUACUGUAAGAAUAAGCACCGGCUAACUACGUGCCAGCCGCCGCAGUAA
rnacentral:rRNA from 1 species